UGUCCUAAAGACAAUCCUUUUGUUCCUAAGUGAAUUAAUGAACUCAUCUUCCCUCUGGUUUUGAUGUUAAGCUUACAGUACUCACACUAUUGCAUGUAGUUUAUCUUAAUUUGUAGAGGCCACUUUCAGCAUUUUAAAAAAAGAAAAGCUACUCUGCCCCAGCACAGAAUCCUUUCAAAUCUUAUGGAGCAUGCUGAAAAAUAAAGACAUUUUUGACUUUUACUUUGUCCAAACUCUUUAUUCCAAAUCACAGGAAGAAAAGUGGGGAAAACAAGGCACAUGGUAGUGAAGAGAGGAGAGAGACAGCGAUGCUCGUUUCCUUCCCAGGGUGAACCAUUCCUGGGCUCCCCUCUCCCAGGCUGAGCAUGUGUGUGUAUGGACCAUGCACAGCUCAGAAAUCAUGUAAAAUCCAUCCUUGCAAAAGCUCUUGGUUGGCCACCUCCCAGACACCCCAGUUCCUUUUCAGAGGCUUCCAGACAUUCUGCUCAUUUCUACAUCCAUAGGUAAAAGUAAAAGCUACCUGCUGCUCCAAUAGCCUGCGUAUAGUUUCACCUGGGACUGCAAAUGUAUCACUUUGCUGUUUUUAAUCAAGCUGCAGUUCUUCCAGCAAAAGGGGGGGCAUGAUCCAAGUAUUGUGUGUGCUACUAAGCUGUUGUGUCCUUGCAGGGACCACCAGGAGUCCCUGGAGCGAGGCAAGCACACUGCCAGUGGUGUGCAAGCCUUGUGCUUAACAUCAGUGGUGCCUGUGCUGAAGAGAAGCAUGGACUGAUGUCACCUGUCCAUCUCACCACAGAGAUGAGGGCUGCACAGCAUGGCUGAGCUCUUGGAAUUAUAGGGCAAAUUAGGCUUAAAACCUUUACAGUUUUAAGGUGUGGCUGAAAACUCAGUCAGUGUUCAGCUGAGGAACAACAGCAGUGACAGCCCUGUCCAAGGUCGUGUUCUGUCAGGCAGCACAGAUGACAGCUCUGCGGCCCGACUGGUUGCUGCAUUUUCAUGUAUGUUUGAAGGAAGGCUUAGAAGACUUGCAGAUGCUAAUCCUUCGCAGUCUGGUUUGAUUCUGCCCUCCGGGGGCAGCCUAUGGGCUGGCACAGCAGUUAGAUAAGGGGCUUCCACUGACAGUGACUUAGAGCAAAAAACUGUUUCUUGUAAGAAGCAGGUGCUUUUCUCAUUCUUAAAGCAUUAAAAACACACAACAAAAUGCCACCAUACAGACCUUUGUCAAAUCCUCACAGUCCCCUGUAGCACCAGCAGCUGGGGAGAAAUGAAGAAUUCAGAGGACCUUGGCCAUAACUCAACAUAAAACCUCUGCAGUCCAUGGCCACUGAAAAUGAUUUAGUGCUGGAUCAAAGCCACCCAGACUUGGGCCCUCCAAAAUUCCUCUAACAACUUUGCUGCUAGUUCAUACGAAAAAAAGUGUUAAAAUCUUUGUGUCAGCAUACGAGUCAAUUCUGCCUGCUGAACCAAGAUUACUUCCAAUGGACUUCAGAUAUUUUGGGAAUCAUUCUCAGGACACUCCAAACAUUUCUUAAAUUAAAAACAUUUGCAAAAUUAGUAAUAUGCAUAUUAAUGCCUAAAAGUUGAUGAAAAUAAUUGAGUUAAGCUACUGAGAAGUAUUUGCUUGCACCUGAAAUGUUAAAGAAUGACUACUGAAUUCGUGAUUUGCUAAGCACGAACUCAUGAGUUUUAUCAAUACACUAAACCAGCUUUGUACAGAGUAAUUUUAUAAAAAUUGAGAAAGCUUGUUUUUUCCUUAAGUUACUCAAGUAGUUCAGGUAAUGAAUAAUUUGUUUCUGGUCAAUGCAUUUUAGAAUGAGAAAAUCUCAUCUUCUUGCACUUCUAAUAUUCAUUGUUUGUAUGGAAAAAGAAAUCUUCACUACUUUUCCAUUUCCCAGGGAAUGAUCAGUUCACUAAGCAACAGGCAAUGUUUCUUGACUUUAGAUUGUAAAAUAUGCUUAGAUAAAUUUACUCUCCUCCAUGUGAAUCUGGUUAUCUGAUUCUUACUUUUUUCUAGCUUCAAAAAUGCUUUUGUGCAAUUUUCAUAAGUGCAGUUGAAUAAAAAUUGCAAGGAAGAAUCUAAGUCAAAUGCUAAGUAAAAAUCAAGCACAUGAAACAAAUGUGGAGAUAGAAAGUAUCAUGAGAAAAGUCAAUCCAUUACUGAAUUAAAUAUUUAUAGAACACAUUGAUUAGCAGAGAGUACUGAUCUUUGUUAAAGUUACAUUUACAAGCAGACCACUGUGAGUGUCAUAAAUGACAAAGCAAUUUUUCUUUAGAAAAAGUGCAAAUGGAAAAAAAAAAACAUUAAAGUAGAUCAUUUAGACCAAUAUUUUCUCAAUUCAAGCCCAUCCUGCCUGUUACAUUACUGUUGUAUUUUCAGGAAUGCUCAGGACAACAGACAUUCCUCAUGGGAAGCAGCUAGGUUCCAAAGUGUCAACUAAAUAAAAGUGAGCAAACUCAUAGGAUUUUCUCAGCACUAGCUCAGCUAACUAAAGACCAAAAAAACCAAAACAGCAAAAAAGCACUACUCACUACUGAACUAGAAUUUCAGCAGUUUAAAAGAACCAUGUUUUGAUCUAGUUCACAUACCAUAGCUAAACCCAGGUUUCUGUUGGUUCGCUUGUUUGUCUUAUGGGGCUUUUACUUCUUAACAACCCUCAAAGCAGGGUCUGUCAUUCCUGAGAUGAUCACCGUUGAAUAGGAAUUUCUUGAAAUCCUAAAAUACAUGGUUAGAGAAACAACAGACUUCAAAUUAAAAACUACUUAAAAUUAUCUCAAAAAAGCAAAAAGAAACUUAAAUUGUCUAUUUGGGAAAUGCCAUUCAGCUACCAUUAACUCCCAAGUUGUGUGUUUAACUGACAUCCUGUAGCUUUGUCAGCUCACAUUUUUGUUAAAAGCAGAUGGUGAUUAAACUACAUAGCAAAGGACCUUCCUUUGGUCUUUGUAAAUGAAUGUAUACAUACAAACUAUGCAUUUUCACACAGCUGCAUACUGUAUCUUGAAUCACUUCAACUUUUCCUCUAGCUUUGAAACCCCCAAACUUCAGGAGCUGAAGAUGCUCCCAUCUCCUUUGGCAGAUAUUUGUCUCCUGUCUUGUUUCUGCUCUCCAAAAUCCUUAGAUGCAGGACAGAGGAAUGCUGAGCUGCACAGCCCAAGGAGCAGAGUGGCUGGGGACCUGUGGCCAGGUCAAGGACCUUGCUUGCUCCUCUGGGGGACCAGUUUGGGCUCCCAGGCCCAGCAUGGCCAAACCCAGAGGUGUGGUAUCUCUGCUCUCACCCAGGCUCAGGAGGAGUUUGCAGCCACACUCAGCCCAGCUGUGCCAAGGAGAGGCCUCUGCCCUGGGCUUGCAGGCACCAUCCUCCCCCUCGGGACAGCCUUUCAGCCAUCCCAGCAGCUCGGUUCCUUCUGACCAUCGUUUCCCCUCAGUGCCCUGCAGCACUUGGAGGCAGGGAUGGCUCCUCAGGGGUUGUGAUCUCACUGCUGAGACCUGCUGCCCCAGGUAAUGCAGCACUCAAAAUGCUCAGCCCUUCAUCCUGGUCACUGAUGGACUUCAGGGCUGGGAUGUGCAAGGGACGAAGGAUCAGGUUUAGUGUACUUUCUGUUGGAGGGGAGCAGGAAAGAUGGAAAAUGGAUGUCUUGUUCUUAUAGCUGGUGUAAUUAAAUAAAGGAGAAAGAUACUGCAUGCAACAUUUCUUAAAUUUUGGGUUGUCACUGUAAUACACAUCAGCCCAGUCUACUCAAUGAAUGAAAUGUGUUUCUUACUCUUUACCCUACAGGAAGAAAGACCAAAAAAGUAGACGUAAUAUCUUUGCUUUAGACUAAAGCAAGCAUGAACUCAACAACAAAGAUUUUGUUUAUAUGCAAACUGUUUAAAUAUUUGAUACCAGUAUGAAGGCAGUCAUAUUCUUAUGUAUCCAGAGAUUUGCACUCAUCUAGGUUAUGUUAAUUAAAAAAAUAUUUUUGCGGUAUGUAUUUGUAUUUGAGGGGCCAAGUCUUUAAUUUUAUAUUCUUUACAAGAAUUAGUGUGGCAAUUACGUUUUUCCAUUUACUGAGCUACCUGCCCAUGCUAGUUGCUCAUUUGCAUAAAGAAUAUUUCCACUACUUCAGAGGUUUUUGGGUGGUUGUUUUCAAAGGGAACCUGCCCCAGAGGGUUCCACAGGAUUGUCCAGUGCGAGUGGGAGGCUCUCUGGAGCAGCAGGUCACCCUUAGAAGGAUGUGGCCUCUCCCUGCAAUGGACACACAUGGAUUCAUUUCCCUGCAAUCAGCAACUGCCUGGUGGGCCUGGGUAGCUCCAGCUGCAGUCCCUCAAAUCAAAGCUCCAGCUGACUCUGUCAGUCCUUUGCUGUCACUUACUAUCACAAAGUUAACUUUUUACAACAAGAAAGAGCUUCCAACUCUGGCACUGAUGGAAAUACUGAAUACUUUUAAUAUAUAUAUAUAUAUAUUUGGAAAGUAUUUGAACAGUGUUUUGUCUUUUUUUAUACAACUUUUAGCCAAAUAGAAAAAUUCUGAUUAUUACUUCUGUGGAUACCUGUCCACCUGUAAAUAAACUCAUAUAUUCAGGUACAUGAGCCUGAAGAAAAAAAUAAUAAAGACUGUUCAGGAGCUAUGCGCUUUGCUAGCUCCUGGUUCCUUUGUACAUAAGAGGUAACUGUUUAAAUGUUGGGUGGGUUUUUUUAAUUUACUUGUUGUUCCUCUAAAGAAAGAAGAAGAAAAAAAAACUUUUGACUUUGUUUUCUCUUUUCUGAGUUAAUACAAAGAUUUUCUAACUUUUUACUGCAGAAAUGGAUUAAUACCUGGUGCUAAGUGAAUGUGAGUCAAACUGGCCAUAGCAGACACACCAGUUAGAAUGCACUUUUCCUGUGGCACACAAUGUAUUUUCUCAGAAGGGACCUUCAAAGGACUGUCAGAUGUUUACAUUUCUUCUUGUUGCCCCAAAUAGUUUUGAAUAUUCAAAUAACUUCCAAAAAUAAAGUCACGGUCCAUUACUGAUGUGACAAAUCCUUACAUUUAAGUAUCUACAACAGCUUUGUACAAAUACCAUUUUAGAGAUAGUUGAAAUAUUGGGCUUUCAUACUUUGUAAUGCUUUGAUGUGACAAUAAAUAUACUGUUGCUAUCUAGUCUAACCUCAUUGUAGACCUGUAACUCCCUGUUUCUGGUUAUGUCAUGAAUUGCACUGGCUUGAAUUCAGCCAAAUACUGACUGUUCAGCUAAAAUAUUCCGACUGUUAUGAUGUCCACAAAACAUUAAUUAAAUGCACUUGUAUCUGA